rnacentral:rRNA from 1 species
UACAGAGGUCUCAAGCGUUGUCCGGAUUCAUUGGGCGUAAAGAGCGCGUAGGCGGCUACGCAAGUCGGAUGUGAAAAUCCGGGGCUCAACCCCGGACCUGCAUCCGAUACUGCGUGGCUAGAGGUAGGUAGGGGAGAUCGGAAUUCCUGGUGUAGCGGUGAAAUGCGUAGAUAUCAGGAGGAACACCGGUGGCGAAGGCGGCUACCUGGACAGAAACUGACGCUGAGGCGCGAAAGCUAGGGGAGCAAACAGG